AACGAAGAUCUAGCUUGCUAGAUCUUAGUGGCGAACGGGUGANNNAAUACAUAAAUAAUCUGCCCAUGUGACUGGGAUAACUAUUGGAAACGAUAGCUAAUACCGGAUAGGUUAAUUGGAGGCAUCUCUAAUUAAUUAAAGUAGGAUUUCUACACAGAUGGAUGAGUUUAUGGCGCAUUAGUUAGUUGGUGGGGUAACGGCCUACCAAGACGAUGAUGCGUAGCCGACCUGAGAGGGUGACCGGCCACACUGGGACUGAGACACGGCCCAGACUCCUACGGGAGGCAGCAGUAGGGAAUUUUCGGCAAUGGGCGCAAGCCUGACCGAGCAACGCCGCGUGAGUGAUUAAGGCCUUCGGGUUGUAAAGCUCUGUUGUAAGGGAAGAACAUUCAGGAUAGGAAAUGAUCUUGAACUGACGGUACCUUACCAGAAAGCCACGGCUAACUACGUGCCAGCAGCCGCGGUAAUACGUAGGUGGCAAGCGUUAUCCGGAAUUAUUGGGCGUAAAGGGUGCGUAGGCGGUUUAUUAAGUCUAUGGUGAAAGUGCGGGGCUCAACCCCGUAUGGCCAUAGAAACUGAUAGACUUGAGUGCAGGAGAGGGCAAUGGAAUUCCAUGUGUAGCGGUAAAAUGCGUAGAUAUAUGGAGGAACACCAGUGGCGAAGGCGGUUGCCUGGCCUGUAACUGACGCUGAAGCACGAAAGCGUGGGGAGCAAAUAGGAUUAGAUACCCUAGUAGUCCACGCCGU
rnacentral:rRNA from 1 species